UAUAGCUCAGUUGUUAGAGUGUUUGCCUUGGAUUCACAAGGCUCUGGGUUCUAUUCCCAGUA
rnacentral:tRNA from 1 species